CCCCCGGCUCAAUACAAAAGACCAUAUACAAAUAUUUAAUUAUAUGUAAAUUAACAGAUGAAGUACUACUAGAACUUGGUUAUCCAUGUACAACUUAGUCACUUAUUUAUCCAUUUAGAUGUUCAAGAAUAUCAAACUAUUUCAUGAAUUGGAUUUCAGAAAGAAGUCACAGUCUGGAUGGAAAACUCUUCGAUCAAAUCAAGCUCUUCUUUUCUUCAUUUAUUACGAGAUUCGGGAACAUCCUUUCAAUCAAAAUUCCAAUCAAAUAUUCCUAUAAAUUCAAAUAAUAUUCAACUUAGUCUCGAAUUUAUCACUUGCAAAUUCAAAAUAAAAUAGGAGAAUCACACCCCUUUCACAUUCAAAUAUAAGAAAAUCACACCUUUACAUAUUCAACAUAAAAUAGAGGAACUACACCCUUUCAAAUUAAGUUAAGAUAAAAUAAAAACUUACUAAUUCAUCUGCAGAAUAUAUGAGCUUGAGAUAGCCAAUUUAUUAGCUCACCCUUUCACAUGCAAAUAUAAGAAAAUCACACCUUGCAAAUUCAACAUGACAUAGAGGAAUUACAUCCCUUUCAAAUUAAGUUAAGAUAAAAUAAAAACUUAUCAAUUCAUCUGCAAAAUAUAUGAGCUUGAGAUAGCUAAUUUAUUAGCUCUUGAUGAUUUCCUAUUAUAAACCAUGAAAAAACUCAAUUUUUUGAAGGAAAACCCUAUAACUAGAAGAACAAAAUGGAAUGAAAAUUUUAUCUUAGCAAUGGUGAUAUG
rnacentral:lncRNA from 1 species